rnacentral:rRNA from 1 species
UCCAGACUCCUACGGGAGGCAGCAGUGGGGAAUAUUGCACAAUGGAGGAAACUCUGAUGCAGCGAUGCCGCGUGAGGGAAGAAGGUUUUCGGAUUGUAAACCUCUGUCUUAAGGGACGAUAAUGACGGUACCUUAGGAGGAAGCUCCGGCUAACUCCGUGCCAGCAGCCGCGGUAAUACGGAGGAUGCGAGCGUUAUCCGGAUUUAUUGGGUUUAAAGGGUGCGUAGGCGGAAUGCCAAGUCAGCGGUAAAAUCGCGGGGCUCAACCUCGCUCCGCCGUUGAAACUGGCGUUCUUGAGUGGGCGAGAAGUAUGCGGAAUGCGUGGUGUAGCGGUGAAAUGCAUAGAUAUCACGCAGAACUCCGAUUGCGAAGGCAGCAUACCGGCGCCCAACUGACGCUGAAGCACGAAAGCGUGGGUAUCGAACAGGAUUAGAUACCCCAGUA